UCCAUUUGGGACACAACGUGUCGGCUUUCCCAGAAACUUGGCACCUCGGCCCCCCCCCCCCCCCCGCCAGGCGCAGGGCCCGUCGGGGACGGUCGGCGGGGCAGCCGCCGCGCGACUUGUCCCCACCCUACCCCCCACCCCCGUCCCCGUCCUCCCCGAAGGGCCGGGGCUCCCACCGCCCGCGGGGCCCGCGCGUCUCCGAAAGUUGAGCCGCCACCGGACCGGGAGCGGCUCCCCCCGGCCCCUCCCCGCCUCCGCUCCCGGCCCCCGCGACGGCUCGGCGACACGCCGACACGCGAGGCCCGGGCACCUCGUGGAAGGCAGUUCUGGCAAGUGUCGCCGCCGCCGGGCCCGGCCGCGCGGGGACAGUGGGAGCGCUCGGGACGCGGGCGCCGCCGCCGCCGUCCGCGCCCCCCCGUCUCCCUCCCGGGGAAGAAGGCGGCCGGCGCCGGGAGACAAAGCGGAGCGCGGGGGGGGACGGCGGACCGCCGGGCGCCGCGCGGGGGGGGGGACCGGUGCGCGCCCGCCGCCCCUUACCUUGGCUCAGGCGCCGGGCCCCGCUCGCCCGCCGGCCACACGGCCGUGCCCGCCCCGCCCGCCGCCGCCCCAGUGCGGGGCCCCGCGGGGACGCCGGCGGCGCCGGGGACCAGAAGUGGCUGGGGUCACUCGGUCCUCCUCGGCGGCCGCGGCCGGCCCUCGCCCUGCGAGCAGCGCCAGUGGAGGCGAGAGCGGCCGCACCUCCUCCCCGGACCGCUCGGCCCGCCUCCCUCCUUCCCUCCGCACCCGCCCGCCGCCCAGCCGCCCCCCUCCCCGCCCCUCCCCGCCCCUCCGCGGCCCCGUUCCUCCCCCACCCCGGCCCCGGCCGUCGCCCCCCGCGCUUUCUUUGGGACGCGCCAACUAACGCAGACCCACAACUCGCGAGCUGUGCGUGGGCGCCUACCCUGCGCCGGGCGCCCUGCUUGCUUGCCAUCGAGGCGUCAGGAAGCUGCGGCUUCUUCCCCGGAGAGCCGGGGCGCAGCAGACGGCUCCUGGGGUGCCACCCAGGACAGGAGCCGAAUCCCUGGUCGUCGUGCGCCAGGCAAGAAGGAGAUGGAGGUGUGCCGCCUGGAGACCCGAGGGCGCAGGAGAAUUCGGACUUCGGAGUUGGAGAAGCCGCGCGGGGUUUCUGAGAGAAACCGGAGUUAUCCCCAGGGCGGGGAUGAUGGGGACCAAGACGACGCCCACGAGGCGGCAAUGAUCCUGCGAUCGCGGUCCUGGGUCCUUGCGUUUACAGAGGAUCCCCCCCUGCAGAGGACAGGGAAGGGAAGGGAGACGCAGUCCAAGCGUGGAUCCUCCGAGAAGCAGGCGCCGAACCAGGACGGACGAGCCUUGGAAGGAUUUCUUAGGGCAAAUGGCUGUGAGAUGACGUGGGAAAAGGAGCGAGCCCGGCAUUACCCACACCUGAUCCCCGGGAAGGAGCGAGGGAAGCCAUCACCCUAG
rnacentral:lncRNA from 1 species